rnacentral:lncRNA from 1 species
GCUAAUCUUCCCAUAGUACAGAGGAAGACAAGUAAAUUUUAUAUUACUAUUUGAAGAACAGAGUUUCUAAUCAUUUUCCUGCUGCAUGGAAACAUUUGCUACUGUUGGACAUAUUACCUCUAAUAGCAGACCCUAUUCUACUGCCUCAGCUCCACUGGAGUCUCACUGAGCCUACUCUGGCUUUGGAGGUGCCAAGUCACCAAGAGAGAUUCUCAGAGGCCCAUUGCAUCUAUUUCUCUCUUGCAUCAACUGGGCAUCAUGAUUAUCAAGUCUGCCGUGAUGUCUAUCUACAUUUGGGCAAGAAUACAAAUGAAGGUUCACCUGAAAGUUAUGAAGGAGGCUAAGAAAUUGUUACAUAAUACGUAAUAUAAUUUUCUACCAUGUAAAAUAUAACUCUAUAAAAACAGAAUUGAAGCACAUGUGGAAUGAUAUGUUUUUUAUGUCACUGAAAGUCCACAAAAUAUC